GACGAACGCUGGCGGCGUGCUUAACACAUGCGAGUCGAACGGUGAACCUCAUCGGAGGGGAUCAGUGGCGAACGGGUGAGUAACACGUGGGCAACCUGCCCCCGGCUCUGGGAUAACUCCAAGAAAUUGGGGCUAAUACCGGAUGUUCACCGCUUCCCGCAUGGGUGGUGGUGGAAAGGGUUUCCGGCUGGGGAUGGGCCCGCGGCCUAUCAGCUUGUUGGUGGGGUAGUGGCCUACCAAGGCGACGACGGGUAGCCGGCCUGAGAGGGUGACCGGCCACACUGGGACUGAGACACGGCCCAGACUCCUACGGGAGGCAGCAGUGGGGAAUAUUGCGCAAUGGGCGGAAGCCUGACGCAGCGACGCCGCGUGGGGGAUGACGGCCUUCGGGUUGUAAACCUCUUUCAGCAGGGACGAAGCGCAAGUGACGGUACCUGCAGAAGAAGCACCGGCCAACUACGUG
rnacentral:rRNA from 1 species